GAAUCCCGUCUUUGGCACGGAUGUACCGGGGCUUUUGUGAUGCGCUCUCGAAGAGUCGAGUUGUUUGGGAAUGCAGCUCAAAAUGGGUGGUGAACUCCAUCUAAAGCUAAAUAUUGGCGAGAGACCGAUAGCGAACAAGUACCGUGAGGGAAAGAUGAAAAGCACUUUGGAAAGAGAGUGAAACAGUACGUGAAAUUGUUGAAAGGGAAACGCUUGAAGUCAGUCGCGUCGACCGAGACUCAGCCUCGCCUCGGCUUGGUGUACUUCUCGGCUGACGGGUCAGCAUCAAUUUUGCCCCUUGGAUAAUGGCGAGGGAAAUGUGACACCUUUGCGGUGUGUUAUAGUCUCUCGUCGCAUGCAAGGGUCGGGAUUGAGGAACUCAGCACGCGCCUUUGGGCGUCGGGGCUUUGCCCACGAUACGUGCUUAGGAUGCUGGCGUAAUGGCUUUAAACGACCCGUCUUGAAACACGGACCAAGGAGUCCAACACGCCCGCGAGUGUUCGGGUGGAAAACCCGUGCGCGUAAUGAAAGUGAAAGUUGGGACCUCUGUCGUGGAGGGCACCGACGCCCGGACCAGACCUUCUGUGACGGAUCUGCGGUAGAGCGUGUGUGUUGGGACCCGAAAGAUGGUGAACUAUGCCUGAAUAGGGUGAAGCCAGAGGAAACUCUGGUGGAGGCUCGUAGCGAUUCUGACGUGCAAAUCGAUCGUCAAAUUUGGGUAUAGGGGCGAAAGACUAAUCGAACCAUCUAGUAGCUGGUUCCUGCC
rnacentral:rRNA from 1 species